CAGUCGCCGCGGUAAUACGGAGGGUGCAAGCGUUAAUCGGAAUUACUGGGCGUAAAGCGCACGCAGGCGGUCUGUCAAGUCGGAUGUGAAAUCCCCGGGCUCAACCCGGGAACUGCAUUCGAAACUGGCAGGCUAGAGUCUUGUAGAGGGGGGUAGAAUUCCAGGUGUAGCGGUGAAAUGCGUAGAGAUCUGGAGGAAUACCGGUGGCGAAGGCGGCCCCCUGGACAAAGACUGACGCUCAGGUGCGAAAGCGUGGGGAGCAAACAGGAUUAGAUACCCCAGUAGUCCCUGUCUAUUAUAC
rnacentral:rRNA from 1 species